rnacentral:lncRNA from 1 species
UAAAUAUGAUGCUUAGGUUAGAAUUGAAAAUCACACCAGAAUCUGAAGUUUUCUCUCGUAUUUUUGUGAGUAUUUAGAUACUUUGAGUGUUUCUAUACGGGGCAAGUUUUCUUCAGUAUUAUAUCCGAUAUUUCAGUCAGAAGUGCUAUUCUUUGAGAUAAGGGAUAGUAAGGGAUGUUAAUUUUCAAGUAAAUGAUUUUAUUUCCUUUAAUAUCAUUAUACCAAAAUAUUGAUAUGAGUUAUAUUGUGAAAUUUUUGCCUUUUUGUGUUGGAGUUACUAUUCAUGUAUACGAUACUAUUCAUGUUUAUGGUACUAUUCACGUAUACGGCACUAUAUACGUAUACGGUACUAUUUAUGAAUACGGAGUACUAUUCAUGGGUUACUAUUCACAAGUUACUAUUCACGGGAUAUUAUUCACGACAAAAUUGGUUUCUUUUUCUGACCAAAUUAUCGUUGAUUUAUGAAUCUUACUCUUGAAAUUAAAUCCAUGUUUUGAUUAUAUUGUUUUUAUUAUCAUAUAUAACAUUUUUAUAAUUCUGGUGAUGAAUUUCUCUUUUACUUGAGUGUAAAGAUGGGUACAUUAUUGGUAUGAUCGUGACUAUUGGUUCUCUUCGGCCAGUAGCGCAAAGAUGAAUUAUUGACUGGUAUAAUCAUGACCAUUGAAUUUAUGAUUGAAUAUCUUUAGCUUAAGUGCAAAGAUGAAUUGGUCAACAUGGUUAUAAUUAUUGUUUAUAUAAAUUCUUAAAUGAUUAUAUAUUUCUUUGAGAUAUUAAUAUCUUUGGCCCGUAGUGUAAAGAUGACCUGUUGUUGAAUAUCUUUGGCCUAUAGUGCAAAGAUGAACUGCUGAUGAAUAUCUUUAGCCCGUAGUGAAAAGAUGAAUUUAUUAGUAUGAUUAUGAAUAUGAACUGUGAUUUGGUAUAACCAUGAUCUUUGAUAUUUCAGGUAAAGACAGGUGAUGAAAAUUAUCUUCGUCCUAGGUGCGAAGAGGAAUUUAGAACCACAAUUAGGAUUAUGAGUUAUUCAUAUGAUUGUGGACAAGAACUGUUGAUUGAUGUUACAGGGAUAAAACAUUGUUGGUGGACUUUAACAUAGAGAAGAUAAUAGACUUUAUGAUGUAUUUGACUCUUCUAAUGGAUUGGUCGUUCCGCUGCAACUAUGGUUGAAAAAUUUUAUCAUCUACCAUAUGUUCUAAAUCUCUAAUUUAUUACUGACGAAGGCUGUUGAUAAUUUAAUUAUCUUUAGUCAUAAUAUUCUUUACUGGGCUAGUUGGGCUCACCUUUUUAUUUCACAAUUCCUUUCAGGUAAUAAGAGUGUAGCUGGGUCGAGCGGGGGUAACAUGGGAAUAGAACGGUGGUCUAUAGCUGUUGAGG